UACGUAGGGUGCGAGCGUUAAUCGGAAUUACUGGGCGUAAAGAGUGCGUAGGCGGCCAACUAAGUCAGACGUGAAAUCCCUCGGCUUAACCGGGGAACUGCAUCUGAUACUGGAUGGCUUGAGAUUGGGAGAGGGAUGCGGAAUUCCAGGUGUAGCGGUGAAAUGCGUAGAUAUCUGGAGGAACACCGGUGGCGAAGGCGGCAUCCUGGACCAACACUGACGCUGAGGAGCGAAAGCCAGGGGAGCAAACGGG
rnacentral:rRNA from 1 species